rnacentral:rRNA from 1 species
AACGAACGCUGGCGGCAGGCCUAACACAUGCAAGUCGAGCGCGCCUUCGGGUGAGCGGCGGACGGGUGAGUAACGCGUGGGAAUAUGCCCUUCUCUACGGAAUAGUCCUGGGAAACUGGGGGUAAUACCGUAUACGCCCUUUGGGGGAAAGAUUUAUCGGGGAAGGAUUAGCCCGCGUUGGAUUAGGUAGUUGGUGGGGUAAUGGCCUACCAAGCCGACGAUCCAUAGCUGGUUUGAGAGGAUGAUCAGCCACACUGGGACUGUGACACGGCCCAGACUCCUACGGGAGGCAGCAGUGGGGAAUCUUAGACAAUGGGGGCAACCCUGAUCUAGCCAUGCCGCGUGAGUGAUGAAGGCCUUAGGGUUGUAAAGCUCUUUCAGCUGGGAAGAUAAUGACGGUACCAGCAGAAGAAGCCCCGGCUAACUCCGUG